GCCAGUGUGGUGUAAUGGUUUUGUAUUGGACUAGAAAUCUGGAAACAAGGGUUCGAAUCACUGCUCAGUCA